rnacentral:rRNA from 1 species
GACGAACGCUGGCGGCGUGCUUAACACAUGCAAGUCGAGCGGUAAGGCCCUUUCGGGGGUACACGAGCGGCGAACGGGUGAGUAACACGUGGGUGACCUGCCCUCAGCUCUGGGAUAAGCCUGGGAAACCGGGUCUAAUACCGGAUAUGACUCCAUGACGCAUGUUGUGGGGUGGAAAGCCUUGUGCGGCUGAGGAUGGGCCCGCGGCCUAUCAGCUUGUUGGUGGGGUGANGGCCUACCAAGGCGACGACGGGUAGCCGGCCUGAGAGGGCGACCGGCCACACUGGGACUGAGACACGGCCCAGACUCCUACGGGAGGCAGCAGUGGGGAAUCUUGCGCAAUGGGCGAAAGCCUGACGCAGCGACGCCGCGUGAGUGAUGAAGGCCUCGGUCGUAA